rnacentral:lncRNA from 1 species
GUUGAGCAGGUUACGAAUCCUCUGAAACCUCAGUUUCUGCGUCUGAUAAGUGGUUACUCAGCCUUUUACAUGGAGUUCUACUCGGGAUGAGACCAAAGGCCACUCCAGGGCUGGCUGUGGAAGAAUGAAAAACCAAAAGAGAACAUUCCAGGCCGGUAACUCCAGUAAGACAGUUGCAUGCCGUGCACAGUAACUGUCACCUUCCCCAGUCCAGCAUUACAUGCUGUUGUAAAAACCAGCAGCUUUGCAUCGACAGACCACGCUUCUGGCCUUGCCUGGCAGGAGUGUGCUGCUCUGGGAACCUCUAAAACCCUGGACCAGCCCCCACACGCAGGAGAUGUGGAGUUUCCUUACUCGACUUCACAUGAGCGAAAGAGGAUACGAGAGAGAGCUUCAACAUCUAGAAACUUUGGUCGGACAUAAAAUCCAUCCAACUGGGAUGAGGUAUUCUGAAGAACCAUCCUUUGUGGCAGGAAAUAAGUGCUGUCUUGGAGACC